UUCCUGGUAGUCUAUCGGUUAGUACACGCGCCGUGAACGCGCGAAAGUUGGGUUCGAUUCCCAGCCAGGGAG